GAUGUUUAAUAAUUAAAGCCAUUUUGUACGUUUACGAUUUAUUUUAAUAUUUUUAUACAUUUUAAUUUGCGAUUUUUUCGAAAACUUGUAGUUUAUAGUUUUCGUUGUUGCGGAAGACUAACGUGUCGAUUAAUGUUUUACUUCAGUUAGCACAAUAUUCAAAUGUCAAGAUUAUACCAUAAAAGUAGUUUUAUUCUAGGUGUAAAUAAGGCACCGCUGAGGCUUGGAACGUCAUUCAACGUCUCCCGCAUUCGUCUAAAUAUUUACUGGCGGAAGUAAUAACAAAUGUCGCUUGAGAGCGUGCAUGCUAAGCGAUCUGAGGUUGGCUGUAAAAAUGCAAUAACAUUCGUAAUUGCGGAACAUUAGGAAACCGAAAAGUUUUUGAGGGAAACAAUUAUAGCAACUGACAAAACGGAAUUUUUCUACAAAAUACCCUAAAUAUAAUUGACUUUUGGAAAAAUGGUUUUUCGUUAAUAAAAUAUAUUUGAAGUUUA